rnacentral:snRNA from 1 species
GUCCCCCAUCGGGCGGCACAUAUACUAAAAUUGGAUCUAUAAAGAGAAGAUUAGCAUGGCUCCUGCGAAAGGAUGACACGCAAAUCCGUGAAGCGCUCCAUCUGAUC